rnacentral:rRNA from 1 species
CCUACGGGGGGCUGCAGUGGGGAAUAUUGCGCAAUGGGCGAAAGCCUGACGCAGCGACGCCGCGUGAGGGAUGAAGGUCUUCGGAUCGUAAACCUCUGUCAGCAGGGAAGAACGGUCACUGUGCUAAUCAGCAGUGAAUUGACGGUACCUGCAAAGGAAGCACCGGCUAACUCCGUGCCAGCAGCCGCGGUAAUACGGAGGGUGCGGGCGUUAAUCGGAAUUACUGGGCGUAAAGCGCUCGUAGGCGGUAUGUCAAGUCAAGGGUGAAAGCCCCGCGCUCAACGUGGGAACUGCCUUUGAAACUGGCAAACUGGAGUGUGUGAGAGGAUAGUGGAAUUCCAGGUGUAGGAGUGAAAUCCGUAGAUAUCUGGGGGAACAUCAGUGGCGAAGGCGACUAUCUGGCACAUAACUGACGCUGAGGAGCGAAAGCGUGGGUAGCAAACAGGAUUAGAUACCCGGGUAGUC